UCUCUUAAAAAAAUGGUUGAU
rnacentral:piRNA from 1 species